CAACCUUCCGUACACUCAGGGAUAGCCUUUCGAAAGAAAGAUUAAUACCUGAUGGUAUGAUGAGAUUGCAUGAUAUCAUCAUUAAAGAUUUAUCGGUGUACGAUGGGGAUGCGUUCCAUUAGGUAGUAGGCGGGGUAACGGCCCACCUAGCCAACGAUGGAUAGGGGUUCUGAGAGGAAGGUCCCCCACAUUGGAACUGAGGCACGGUCCAAACUCCUACGGGAGGCAGCAGUGAGGAAUAUUGGUCAAUGGACGAGAGUCUGAACCAGCCAAGUAGCGUGAAGGAUGAAGGCCCUACGGAUUGUAAACUUCUUUUAUAAGGGAAUAAACCCUCCCACGUGUGGGAGCUUGUAUGUACCUUAUGAAUAAGCAUCGGCUAACUCCGUGCCAGCAGCCGCGGUAAUACGGAGGGUGCGAGCGUUAUCCGGAUUUAUUGGGUUUAAAGGGAGCGCAAACGGGUCGUUAAGUCAGCUGUGAAAGUUUGGGGCUCAACCUUAAAAUUGCAGUUGAUACUGGCGUCCUUGAGUGCGGUUGAGGUGUGCGGAAUUCGUGGUGUAGCGGUGAAAUGCUUAGAUAUCACGAAGAACUCCGAUUG
rnacentral:rRNA from 1 species